AAGAAUUUAAGUUAAAUCAAAAACUAUUGACCUUCAAAGUCAAAAAUAGAAAAUAUCUAAUUCUUA
rnacentral:tRNA from 1 species